rnacentral:lncRNA from 1 species
CAAAGACUGCCCCAUGUUGCCCAAGAAUGACACGCUCUUCGGAGUAACCUUCGAGCAACCAGACAGUGACAGGACACGAAGCUUGAGGUGCUUUGCUGAUGCCAGGGUAGCAACACCAUUGUCACUGACCAUGCACUUGGACAGAUCGAGCUCAGCAAGCUCAGUGCAAUUCUCGGAGAUGGCAAAGAGGCUAGCAUCGGUUAUCUUGCUGCAGCCCUCAAGACUAACUUGCUUCAGAGAUUUUCCAUGCCCCUUCACCAGGGUAGAAACAGCUGCAUCUGUGAUGUUCUUGCAACCACUCAAAUCGACCUUGACUAGACCACCCUCGGAAGAGUUGAUCAGUGGAAGAAGCCCACGGUCAGUGACCUCACGGAGACCACUCAAAUCAACCUGCUCCAAGUAAGGGCAAAC